ACCUGGCUGGCUCAGUCAGUAGAGCAUGGGACUCCUAAACUCAGGGGCAUAAGUUCAAGCCCCAUGUUGGGUG
rnacentral:tRNA from 1 species